rnacentral:rRNA from 1 species
UACAGAGGGGGCAAGCGUUGUUCGGAAUUACUGGGCGUAAAGGGCGCGUAGGCGGCCUUCUAAGUCGAACGUGAAAUCCCCGGGCUCAACCCGGGAACUGCGUCCGAUACUGGAAGGCUUGAAUCCGGGAGAGGGAUGCGGAAUUCCAGGUGUAGCGGUGAAAUUCGUAGAUAUCGGGAGGAACACCGGUGGCGAAGGCGGCGACCUGGGUAGAUACUGACGCUGAGGCGCGAAAGCGUGGGGAGCAAACAGG